rnacentral:rRNA from 1 species
UGAAUACGAGACGCUACGGCGUCGAAGCAGUCUAUGUCAUACUUCCAAGAAAAGCUUGCACUGUCAUAAACAAAUAAUGCCUGUACCAUAACCGACACAGGUGGGUAGGUAGAGUAUACUAAGGGGCGCGAGAUAACUCUCUCUAAGGAACUCGGCAAAAUAACUCCGUAACUUCGGGAGAAGGAGUGCCUUAUUUAUAAGGUUGCAAUAACAAGAUCCAAGCAACUGUUUAUCAAAAGCACAGGUCUCCGCUAAGUCGUAAGACGAUGUAUGGGGGCUGACGCCUGCCCAGUGCCAGAAGGUUAAAGAAGUUGGUUAGCAUUAGCGAAGCUGAUAACUGAAGCCCUGGUGAACGGCGGCCGUAACUAUAACGGUCCUAAGGUAGCGAAAUUCCUUGUCGGGUAAGUUCCGACCCGCACGAAAGGCGUAAUGAUUUGGAUACUGUCUCAGAGAGGGGCUCGGUGAAAUAGACUUGUCUGUGAAGAUGCGGACUACCUGCACCAGGACAGAAAGACCCUAUGAAGCUUUACUGUAACUUGAAAUUGAAAUUGGACUUUAUUUGCGCAGUAUAGGUGGGAGGCAUUGAUAAUAUUCUUGCGGGAAUGUUGGAGCCAUCAGUGAGAUACCACUCUUGUAAUGUUAGAUUUCUAACUUUGGAUCAUUAUCUGGUCAAAGGACAGUUUCAGGCGGGCAGUUUGACUGGGGCGGUCGCCUCCUAAAUGGUAACGGAGGCGCACAAAGGUUUCCUCUGAACGGGUAGAAAUCGUAUCUAGAGUGUAAAGGCAUAAGGAAGCUAGACUGUGAGACCUACAAGUCGAGCAGGGACGAAAGUCGGUCUUAGUGAUCUGACGGUGCUGAGUGGAAAGGCCGUCACUCAACGGAUAAAAGUUACUCUAAGGAUAACAGGCUGAUCUCCCCCAAGAGUUCACAUCGACGGGGAGGUUUGGCACCUCGAUGUCGGCUCAUCGCAUCCUGGGGCGGUAGUACGUCCCAAGGGUUGGGCUGUUCGCCCAUGAAAGCGGUACGCGAGCUGGGUUCAGAACGUCGUGAGACAGUUCGGUCCAUAUCCGGUGUAGGCGUUAGAAUAUUGAGAGGAGCCUUCUUUAGUACGAGAGGACCGAGAAGGACAUACCUCUGGUGUACCAGUUAUCGUGCCAACGGUAAACGCUGGGUAGCUAUGUAUGGAGAGGAUAACCGCUGAAAGCAUCUAAGUGGGAAGCCCACCUCAAGAUAAGUAUUCUC